AUUGAACGCUGGCGGUAUGCUUUACACAUGCCAGUCGAGCGGCAGCGCGGCCUUCGGGCUGUCUGCGGGCGGCGAACGGGUGAGUAAUGCAUCGGAACAUGCCCAGUCGCGUUGGAUAACACUUCGAAAGAGGUGCUAAUACCGCAUACGUCCUGAGGGGGAAAGCGGGGGAUCGCAAGACCUCGCGCGAUUGGGGUGGCCGAUGUCAGAUUAGCUAGUUGGUGGGGUAAAGGCCUACCAAGGCGACGAUCUGUAGCUGGUCUGAGAGGAUGAUCAGCCACACUGGGACUGAGACACGGCCCAGACUCCUACGGGAGGCAGCAGUGGGGAAUUUUGGACAAUGGGGGCAACCCUGAUCCAGCCAUUCCGCGUGAGUGAAGAAGGCCUUCGGGUUGUAAAGCUCUUUCGGCAGGAAAGAAACGGUGGGCUCUAACAUAGUCCGCUAAUGACGGUACCUGAAGAAGAAGCACCGGCUAACUACGUG
rnacentral:rRNA from 1 species